rnacentral:rRNA from 1 species
UACGUAGGGGCCAAGCGUUAUCCGGAUUUACUGGGUGUAAAGGGAGCGUAGGCGGUGCAGCAAGUCAGAAGUGAAAGCCCGGGGCUCAACUCCGGGACUGCUUUUGAAACUGUUGAACUAGAUUGCAGGAGAGGUAAGUGGAAUUCCUAGUGUAGCGGUGAAAUGCGUAGAUAUUAGGAGGAACACCAGUGGCGAAGGCGGCUUACUGGACUGUAAAUGACGCUGAGGCUCGAAAGCGUGGGGAGCAAACAGG